rnacentral:lncRNA from 1 species
CAUCCUCCUUGGGGAUCGAUACGAGUCUUGUCUGGCCGAUUUUGGCCUGGCUAGACUGGUGGGGGGCGGGCGGGGGUCGUUGUGUCUGGCCGAUUUUGGCCUGGCUAGACUGGUGGAGGACGGUCGGGGAUCGUUCUCUGAGAAUCCUCAAUUGGCGGGAUCAUACGGUUACAUGGCACCAGGUAUGGUACAUUAUAUAUACAUUGUGUUAACUAUUUGUUUUAGCUUUAAAUAAAUUUGGUCCGAUUGAUAAACUGUCACACAUUUUCGCAG